GCUGGGUGUGGUGGUGCGUGCCUGUUGUCCCAGCUACUUGGGAGGCUGAGGCAGGAGAAUCACUUGAACCCAGGAGGCGGAGAUUGCAGUGAGCUGAGAUCACGCCACUGCACUCCAGCCUGGGUGACAGAGUGAGACUCUGUCUCAA
rnacentral:SRP_RNA from 2 species